rnacentral:rRNA from 1 species
UACGUAGGGUGCGAGCGUUGUCCGGAAUUACUGGGCGUAAAGCGUGCGCAGGCGGUUUUGCAAGCCGGAUGUGAAAUCCCCGGGCUUAACCUGGGAAUGGCAUUUGGGACUGCAAGGCUGGAGUGCGGCAGAGGAGACUGGAAUUCCUGGUGUAGCAGUGAAAUGCGUAGAUAUCAGGAGGAACACCGAUGGCGAAGGCAGGUCUCUGGGCAUUAACUGACGCUGAGGAGCGAAAGCAUGGGGAGCGAACAGG